CCUACGGGAGGCAGCAGUGGGGAAUAUUGGACAAUGGGCGAAAGCCUGAUCCAGCCAUGCCGCGUGUGUGAAGAAGGCCUUCGGGUUGUAAAGCACUUUCAGUGGGGAAGAAAGCCUUGGGGCUAAUACCCUCGAGGAAGGACAUCACCCACAGAAGAAGCACCGGCUAACUCCGUGCCAGCAGCCGCGGUAAUACGGAGGGUGCGAGCGUUAAUCGGAAUUACUGGGCGUAAAGCGCGCGUAGGCGGUCUGAUAAGCCGGUUGUGAAAGCCCCGGGCUCAACCUGGGAACGGCAUCCGGAACUGUCAGGAUAGAGUGCAGGAGAGGAAGGUAGAAUUCCCGGUGUAGCGGUGAAAUGCGUAGAGAUCGGGAGGAAUACCAGUGGCGAAGGCGGCCUUCUGGACUGACACUGACGCUGAGGUGCGAAAGCGUGGGUAGCAAACAGGAUUAGAUACCCUGGUAGUC
rnacentral:rRNA from 1 species